GAUGAACGCUGGCGGCGUGCCUAAUACAUGCAAGUCGAGCGAACAGACGAGGAGCUUGCUCCUCUGACGUUAGCGGCGGACGGGUGAGUAACACGUGGAUAACCUACCUAUAAGACUGGGAUAACUUCGGGAAACCGGAGCUAAUACCGGAUAAUAUAUUGAACCGCAUGGUUCAAUAGUGAAAGACGGUUUUGCUGUCACUUAUAGAUGGAUCCGCGCCGCAUUAGCUAGUUGGUAAGGUAACGGCUUACCAAGGCGACGAUGCGUAGCCGACCUGAGAGGGGGGAGCGGCACAGCGGGAGUGAGACCACGCACCGGGACCCAAGGGGGGCCGAGAUGGGGAAUCUUGCGCAAAGGGGGGAAGCCUGAAGGAGGCAAGGCGGGUGGGUGAAGAAAGGCUUCGGGUUGGAAAACCGUUUUUUUGGGGAAAAAAAAAUUGGUAAAGUAACAAGCCCUGUUUGACGGGAACCUAUAAAAAAGCCCCGGCUAACUAAGUG
rnacentral:rRNA from 1 species